rnacentral:lncRNA from 1 species
UUUUGAGAUGGAGUCUCGCUCUGUCACCCAGGCUGGAGUGCAGUGGCGCGAUCUCAGUUCACUGCAACCUCCAUUGUUUCUGAGACGGAGUCGCCCAGGCUGGAGUGCAGUGAGUGGCUCAGUCUCAGCUCACGGCAACCUCCGAGUCCUGGGUUCAAAUGCCUGUGUCAUGCUCAUUUUGUAAGCCCUUGCUUGCCUCGAAUAGAAUUUUAUUAAUAAAUUUACCUUAAAUAGAUGUAAUUCAUCAGUAGAAAACCUGCAAAUGGGUAAGCUCCUCAAGACAGAGCUUCUUCUCCAUCUUUGUGCACCUCUGAACCCAACAUGGUAACUUCCACGCAGUAAGGGCUCAAGGGUUCCACUGAUCAACCUG